GACGAACGCUGGCGGCGUGCUUAACACAUGCAAGUCGAGCGGUAAGGCCCCUUCGGGGGUACACGAGCGGCGAACGGGUGCGUAACACGUGAGCAAUCUGCCCAUCACAUCGGGAUAACUCCGGGAAACCGAAGCUAAUACCGAAUACGACCACCUCCGGCAUCGGAUGGUGGUGGAAAGUUCCGGCGGUGAUGGAUGAGCUCGCGGCCUAUCAGCUUGUUGGUGGGGUAACGGCCCACCAAGGCUUCGACGGGUAGCCGGCCUGAGAGGGUGACCGGCCACACUGGGACUGAGACACGGCCCAGACUCCUACGGGAGGCAGCAGUGGGGAAUAUUGGACAAUGGGCGAAAACCUGAUCCAGCAACGCCGCGUGAGGGAUGACGGCCUUCGGGUUGUAAACCUCUUUCAGCAGGGACGAAGCGCAAGUGACGGUACCUGCAGAAGAAGCACCGGCCAACUACGUG
rnacentral:rRNA from 1 species